AUCCAUUCCUGCUGCACAUAUUUUGAGCAGAAUGUAGUUUCCCACAGCUUCCCCAUGAAACACAUAAGUACUCCUUAAAUCCCUGCUCAUCCACCUGGGUAGCACUGGACUAGAGUACCUGUUGGGAGUUUUGUCCUCACACUGCUGAGAUGCACUGAAGAUAGCUAGUGGCUUGACAGCAAGAUUAGAAGAUUUUUACAUUCUCUUUUCUGAGCCACAUAUGAGUCAAUAAAUGUAUGAUAUCCUCU